UACAAUAUGGUGCUCGAAAACUACGUGUCCCAUCAUAGGUCAAAUCAUCAAAGCAAAGCAUCCUAAAAAAAAUGGAUAGGUAUUCCCCAAUUGUUAGAUUCAUAAUCUUUCUUCUUUAUGUAAGAUUCACUUUAACUCUAAUAUUCACACGAAAUUUUGGGAUAUACAAUCAAAUAAUUGAACUGUACUCAUGCAUAGCACAUCUCAAGAUUCAACUGGAUCGUCUCAAGUUAUUCUCAAUCUUUUUAAUAUUAUGCUUUUCAAGAGACUCGAUCACAUUAUAUCAAAUAUACUUAUGCGUGCAUUUGAAGAUCAAUGUGGUUCUAUACUUGAUCGUACAACUCCACAAUUGACAAGACUGAUGACUAUAAUAAAAUCUAAUUAUAAAUAUCGUCGUAAAGUGUUUGGGGCCUGUGUUGAUGUAACAUUAGUGAUUAAUCACUUUUGCGAUAGAGCUUUACAUGCAUCAAAAGAGUUAUUCAAUGAGAUAGUGCCGACUAGUAAAUCAUCAAUACGGUUGCUAAAUAAGAUAGCCACUGAUAACAAAGAUAUCAAUAAUGAGUGUAUAGUUUGUCUAAGUGAAAUAAACAAGAUGCAUGCCUUGCUCACAUAUAUUUCAUGGAGAAUGUAUUAUCAAGUGGUUAGUAAAAAGUCAUUAUUAUCCUCUUUGCGGCUUUGCUAUACCAACGGAGCAAUAAUUUAAUAAAUCAACACAAUUUUGUACUUUUGUUGGAGUAUUUAAAGAUUAUUUAAUUUAUUUUUGAUGUUUGUGUUUUUAUCAAGAUUCAAGUUUUUUUUCUUUCUAUUUUUUUUUUAAAGUCGGUGUAAUAAUUCAGUUAAAAAAUAGUAAUGGAAUUAAUUAUGAAAUUUGUUUACUUACUAUUGAAGAUUAUAAACGUACUUAAAUUUGUCUUACAAUUUCGAAAAGACUAUUCAAAGUAACAUAAUUUAUUUAGGGAUGGCUUAUUUGGCGUCAAUUGUAGAAUUCCGGAAGAGAUGGCUUCGUCGGCGGUGGCUGAAACCCUAACUUUGUCAAUUUAGGGAAUUGGGGCUACAGCUGUAGCUUGCUUCUUCUUCGCCGAUGGAAGUUUCUAGGCGCUCUUAGCUUACCAGAAUCAACAUAUGAACAAUGGACAAAAAACAAAGGGUUUGCAGCAAAUUAUGUUGUAUGUUGCCUUAUCCUUUUAUCUCAAAGAAUAUUGAUCAUAUUGCUCGACUUAUGGAGCUUCCUUUCGUUGAACACUCUGGGACACUUCCACCAGUUCUUGUAGUCAAUAUUCAGGAGAAAACUAUGUUGAGAUUGAGAUUGAUACAAGCAGAUUUAGUUACAUCUCUAUGAAGGGUUGUGAAACAUGCCUAGAUAAGAUGUGUAGAUUCAGUUACGCCUCUUGGAGGAAGGUCUCAUAAUUCAGGCAAAAAAGCCAUGAAAAAAUACAAUACAUGAGGUGGGGAGAAGAACUUGAAGACUUCUUUUUAGACAUUCACAUGCCUUAUUCCUCAUAUCUCUUUCGAUAUAUAUUCUCCAUCACGAAGAUUACUGUUGUUUCUAAUUUCUUUUGCAUUUCUAAUAAACUCAUUGUUGUGUUGUAAUCUUUUAGCUAUUAUUAUGAGCUUUUGAAAUAGAUGUAUGUAUGAAGUUCAAUGUUUAAA